GGUUAAGUGAUUAAGCGUAGACGGUGGAUGCCUUGGCAGUCAGAGGCGAUGAAGGACGUACUAACCUGCGAAAAGCGAUGGUGAGCUGGUAAGAAGCAUUUGAGCCAUCGAUGUCCGAAUGGGGAAACCCACCUGCAUAAGCAGGUAUCUUAGCGUAAAUACAUAGCGCUAAGAGGCGAACUCGGGGAACUGAAACAUCUAAGUACCCGAAGGAAAAGAAAUCAAUUGAGAUUCCGGCAGUAGCGGCGAGCGAACCCGGAGCAGCCCUUAAGCGGCUUAGGCGUUAGGUGAACAGGUUGGAAAACCUGGCAAUAAAGGGUGAUAGCCCCGUAACCGACGGCGCCUUAGGCGUGAAAACGAGUAAGACGGGACACGUGAUAUCUUGUCUGAACAUGGGGGGACCAUCCUCCAAGGCUAAAUACUCCUGACUGACCGAUAGUGAACCAGUACCGUGAGGGAAAGGCGAAAAGAACCCCUGUGAGGGGAGUGAAAUAGAACCUGAAACCGUCUACGUACAAGCAGUGGGAGCCUCCUUUGUGGGGUGACCGCGUACCUUUUGUAUAAUGGGUCAGCGACUUAAUGUAAGUAGCAAGGUUAACCGCAUAGGGGAGCCGUAGGGAAACCGAGUCUUAACUGGGCGACAGUUGCUUGCAUUAGACCCGAAACCGAGUGAUCUAGCCAUGGGCAGGUUGAAGGUUGAGUAACAUCAACUGGAGGACCGAACUCACUAACGUUGAAAAGUUAGGAGAUGACCUGUGGCUAGGGGUGAAAGGCCAAUCAAACUCGGAGAUAGCUGGUUCUCCCCGAAAGCUAUUUAGGUAGCGCCUCGGACGAAUACUACUGGGGGUAGAGCACUGUUAAGGCUAGGGGGUCAUCCCGACUUACCAACCCUUUGCAAACUCCGAAUACCAGUAAGUACUAUCCGGGAGACACACGGCGGGUGCUAACGUCCGUCGUGGAGAGGGAAACAACCCAGACCGCCAGCUAAGGUCCCAAAGUUAUCGCUAAGUGGGAAACGAUGUGGGAAGGCUCAGACAGCCAGGAUGUUGGCUUAGAAGCAGCCAUCAUUUAAAGAAAGCGUAAUAGCUCACUGGUCGAGUCGGCCUGCGCGGAAGAUGUAACGGGGCUAAGCGAUACACCGAAGCUGCGGCAAUGUCCUUAUGGAUAUUGGGUAGGGGAGCGUUGUGUAAGCUGUUGAAGGUGUGCUGAGAGGCAUGCUGGAGGUAUCACAAGUGCGAAUGCUGACAUGAGUAACGAUAAAGGGGGUGAAAAACCUCCUCGCCGGAAGACCAAGGGUUCCUGUCCAACGUUAAUCGGGGCAGGGUAAGUCGGCCCCUAAGGCGAGGCCGAAAGGCGUAGUCGAUGGGAAACGGGUUAAUAUUCCCGUACUGCUACUUACUGCGAUGGGGGGACGGAGAAGGCUAGGUGGGCCUGGCGAUGGUAGUCCAGGUUCAAGUGCGUAGGCUGAUUUCUUAGGCAAAUCCGGGAAAUCAAGGCCGAGACACGAUGUCGAGCCACCAAGGUGGUGAAGUCAUUGAUGCCAUGCUUCCGGGAAAAGCCUCUAAGCUUCAGGUAAGUAGCAACCGUACUCCAAACCGACACAGGUGGUCGGGUAGAGAAUACCAAGGCGCUUGAGAGAACUCGGGUGAAGGAACUAGGCAAAAUGGUACCGUAACUUCGGGAGAAGGUACGCUGCCCGCGGUGAAGUCCCUUGCGGAUGGAGCUAUGGGCAGUCGCAGAUACCAGGUGGCUGCAACUGUUUAUUAAAAACACAGCACUGUGCAAAAUCGAAAGAUGACGUAUACGGUGUGACGCCUGCCCGGUGCCGGAAGGUUAAUUGAUGUGGUUAUCGCAAGAGAAGCCAUUGAUUGAAGCCCCGGUAAACGGCGGCCGUAACUAUAACGGUCCUAAGGUAGCGAAAUUCCUUGUCGGGUAAGUUCCGACCUGCACGAAUGGCGUAAUGAUGGCCACGCUGUCUCCACCCGAGACUCAGUGAAAUUGAAAUCGCAGUGAAGAUGCUGUGUACCCGCGGCUAGACGGAAAGACCCCGUGAACCUUUACUACAGCUUGGCACUGAACAUUGAGCCUACAUGUGUAGGAUAGGUGGGAGGCUUUGAAGCGGCGACGCCAGUUGCUGUGGAGCCAUCCUUGAAAUACCACCCUUGUAUGUUUGAUGUUCUAACUUAGCCCCGUUAUCCGGGGUGAGGACAGUGCCUGGUGGGUAGUUUGACUGGGGCGGUCUCCUCCCAAAGCGUAACGGAGGAGCACGAAGGUGGGCUAAUCACGGUCGGACAUCGUGAGGUUAGUGCAAUGGCAUAAGCCCGCUUAACUGCGAGAGUGACGGCUCGAGCAGGUACGAAAGUAGGUCAUAGUGAUCCGGUGGUUCUGAAUGGAAGGGCCAUCGCUCAACGGAUAAAAGGUACUCCGGGGAUAACAGGCUGAUACCGCCCAAGAGUUCAUAUCGACGGCGGUGUUUGGCACCUCGAUGUCGGCUCAUCACAUCCUGGGGCUGAAGUCGGUCCCAAGGGUAUGGCUGUUCGCCAUUUAAAGUGGUACGCGAGCUGGGUUUAGAACGUCGUGAGACAGUUCGGUCCCUAUCUGCCGUGGGCGUUGGAUGAUUGAGGGGAGCUGCUCCUAGUACGAGAGGACCGGAGUGGACGAACCGCUGGUGUUCGGGUUGUGUCGCCAGACGCAUUGCCCGGUAGCUAAGUUCGGCACAGAUAAGCGCUGAAAGCAUCUAAGCGCGAAGCUGGCCCCGAGAUGAGUCAUCCCUAGAGCUUCGAGCUCUCUAAAGGGUUGUCGUAGACGACGACGUUGAUAGGCAGGGUGUGUAAGCGCUGUGAGGCGUUGAGCUAACCUGUACUAAUUGCCCGUGAGGCUUAACCAU
rnacentral:rRNA from 1 species